GGGCUCCCCUUCCGACGCGCACCCCGCCGCCGAGGGGGAGGGGACGCCGCGACGGCCAACGUCCAACGGCUCGACCGCCCCGCGGCGUUCUGCGGGGCGCUCACAGCCGAGCCCGCGUCGAGCCCACGGCCGCCGCCUCCGCCGCCCGGGGCAUCGCGCUGUCAGGGCACUCGCCGGCUUCCCGCGGCUCCUCGGCACUGGCGGGGAUCGCCCGCGCGACAGGACCCGGCGACCACGGGUAGCGCCGGGACUUUGGCCUCUUGAAGAGAGAAAGGGGCCUCGGGGCGCCUCGCGCUGCGCGUAGCCCGCGCCACCGCAAACGCCGCCGCCGCCUCCGCCGCUGCCGCCGCCACCUCGACCCGCUUCUCACUCCGAAUGGCAACUAAUCCAGUGUCGGCGCCCCGCCUCCGGCCCCGCCUCUGGGCGGUCCGGACCCCCGGGCUCCUGCGGCUGCGAGCUCCCUGAUUGGCAGCGCCAACCUACUACAGGAUUGCAAUGAUUGGUUGGGCAGUCGGAGUGAGAGGAGAUUCGGCCAAUUGCAGUACCACGUUUCCGCUCAGGGGGCGGAGCAUGGGAGUGGAUGAGAGAGGAGGGCCUCGUGCGGAGGGAGGGACCUCAGAGUUGACAGCCUUUGAGGUGAGGGUCAGGCUAGGAAAGUGGGUCCAUACGUGCCCUGCGCGUGCUCCGGACACCCAAAGGCACGCGCGCACUGCGAUAAGCAAGUUGCAAGGGUUCCACCCUCCAGUGCUCUCUACAACCUGAGGCUGAGGACGCUGAAGCCAAACUAACUUUGCAAAUACACCUGCAUCCGGGUGAGGUGGAGAACAUCGCAUUCUAAAUUGUAGACGUCGUUGACAAGACAAUUUACAUCAUCACAUCAUCAGAUUUAUUAAUGGAAGGCACCUAGUUUACUAUCCAGGAGCAGAUGGUCUCUUGGGAGAAAUACCAGGCAUAACAUAACAAUUCAUUGUGGUCAUUUCCUCUGUGUGAUGGGGCUGGGGUUAUUCUUCUGCAAGGAAAAUGAGAGGUACAAAGAUUUUAGAUGGUCAUAAAAAAGUAUAUAAAACCCUAAUCAGGAAUAAUUAAAGCUCUACAUCAAAUACCUCCUAUCAAUUCAUAUGAGAUAAACAAAAAAAAAUAAGAUUUUACAAAAUAAAGAAGUGGCAUGUCAGAUUGGUGUAUGCCUGGUGUCUGCCCACACUGACAAGCUUCCUGAUUUCAGGCACUAAAUGGUCAGUUUCAUUCAGAGGAGCCACCUCUCUCUGCUUCCCUGUGUGGUCAGACAAAAAUAAAAUAAAAUUAAAAGAAAGAAAAAAGAAAAAGCACAGCAAAUUAUUUUUUAGAAAAAACAUUGAUGAUGCCUAAUCAAAAAACAAAACAAAAAAAAUAGCAUCUAGCACUAUAUCCCACUACAUUAGUCAUAGUUCCUCGCUUUAUCACAUAUAAAAAUAAUAGCUAAUAUUUACUAGACAUUCACCACGUGCCAGCCACUGUUCUCAUUAUUAUGUGUUAACUCAUUCAUUCUUCACAUAAUCCACAAGGUAUGUGCUGUUAUUAUCCUCACUGUUUUCCCAUCUGGGGCACAAAGACACUAAUUGUCUUGUCUGAGAUUACUCAGCUAAGUGGAAGCUGAGAACUGAGACCAGAGGGACCAGGGCAAGAGUCUGAAGAAGCCCUGUGCCUUAGUGCCUCCAAGCAUAAGAUGUAUGUUCUGAUCAAGAGACUUUAUGGUAGCUCACAGAUGUCCAAAAGAGUUUUUAUAACUGAAUAGCAGCUCCCUUUUCUUACUUUCCAGAAAAACAUAUAUUUUAAUUAUAUAUAGAACAAAAUGACUUGAAAUUUUGACAUAAUUUGUCUAUUGUAUUAGUUUUUCCAUCUAAAGAUAAAUGGUUUCAUAUUAAGUUAUAACCUUUUGUGAAUAGAAACAAUAAAUGGCUUUGGUGGUUUUUUGGAAUAGCAAGAAUAAGAUUAUAACAAAUUUAUUCUAAAAAUGUAUAAAGGUUUCAAACCAUUGGCAAGUGUCUAAAGUUGGUGAUUUGAUUAUAGCAUAGCUUCAUUAUAGAAAUGCCAUCUCUGGUCACUUCCAUCUGAGGGUGGAACAACCUCAGCACAUUAGAUUCUAAAGUCAUAGUGAGCCACAGUUGGCAAUGAUCAGUAGCAUUUCGUUUGGAUCUAAAACAAUGUAACUGGCCAUAAUUUUAGGUUUCUAGUUCAUUCAGAUCUAACAUAAUGAAUUUAAAUUGUACCUAAAAUCUAAAUGAGAGAAUUUGUAUGAGUUUUUAAGUGCCAUUUUGUUAUGCAUCUGGUGCUGGAGAUUGAACUCAGAGCCUUGCUUUGGUUGCUCAAAGUGCUGUGCCGCUGAAUUACCCCCAGAUACUAUCUGAUCUUACAAUGCUAUUUUCACUUUCUGGUAUCUCAUCAUGAGUUAUUUGAAAUUCCAAUCAUUUUCUCUUUAUUCAAGAAAACAUGGUUCCCUCUAAAAACUUUAUUCUCAUGAAAUAAGGAGUGAUGGUCAUACCUAAGAAUUUAAAUGAGCUACAAUAAAUGCAACACCUGCCUUCAAAUGCC